rnacentral:rRNA from 1 species
GACGAACGCUGGCGGCGUGCUUAACACAUGCAAGUCGAACGGUGAAGGGACGGGUUUGGCGGGUCCUGGAGGGGUGGCGAACGGUGAGGUACAACGUGAGUAACCGCCCCCCUUCUUCGGGAAAACCGCAUGAAAGUGUGGCUAAUACGGGAUAUUCUGGGUUUUUCGCAUGGUGGGCCGGGGAAAGAUUGCGCCUUUUUUGUGUUUUUUGGGGGGGGUGGGCCUCGCGGCCUAUCAGCUGGUUGGUGGGGUGAUGGCCUACCAAGGCGGUGACGGGUAGCCGGCCUGAGAGGGUGGACGGUCACACUGGGACUGAGACACGGCCCAGACUCCUACGGGAGGCAGCAGUGGGGAAUAUUGCACAAUGGGCGCAAGCCUGAUGCAGCGACGCCGCGUGAGGGAUGGAGGCCUUCGGGUUGUGAACCUCUUUCGCCAGUGAAGCAGGCCUGCCUCCUUUUGUGGGUGGGUUGACGGUAGCUGGAUAAGAAGCGCCGGCUAACUACGUG